AUUGAACGCUGGCGGCAGGCCUAACACAUGCAAGUCGAGCGAGCGGCGGACGGGUGAGUAAUGUCUGGGGAACUGCCCGAUAGAGGGGGAUAACUACUGGAAACGGUAGCUAAUACCGCAUACCAUCGGAUGUACCCAUAUGGGAUUAGCUAGUAGGUAAGGUAAUGGCUUACCUAGGCGACGAUCCCUAGCUGGUCUGAGAGGAUGAUCAGCCACACUGGGACUGAGACACGGGCCAGACUCCUACGGGAGGCAGCAGUGGGGAAUAUUGCACAAUGGGCGCAAGCCUGAUGCAGCCAGGCCGCGUGUGUGAAGAAGGCCCUAGGGUUGUAAAGCACUUUCAGUGGGGAGGCGUUACCGGCAGAAGAAGCACCGGCUAACUCCGUGCCAGCAGCCGCGGUAAUUC
rnacentral:rRNA from 1 species